UGUCACUGAUCGUCGAACAUGCAUGUAUCAAUCUUAUCUUGUUUAGUUGGAACUGCGUAAUAGUUUUAUUUUUUAGUAAGUGGUAGUGUUAAAUAAAAAGGUUGUUUGCCGGUGUAUGCUAAAAUAAAGGUAGUUAACGUAUGUGACGUUUGAUGUAAAGUACACGAGUUUGUGGUGCUGUUAAAGAGUAAAUUAAAAAGGUCGAGUUUGAACGGGGGUAAAUGAGAUGCACAGAAUGCCUGCUGUCCCUGUAGUACAGUACCGAUGGAUAAUCCUAACACAGAACAAUGCUUCUACAAGCAGCAGCAUGUUGUGCUUGGAUACCACAAGCAUGGCAGAUUUCUCAGAACGUGUUAAUUUUCCAAAGAGUCUUGUUCAUAUGAAUCCGUUUUGGAAGCAUCUGAGAUGAGGUGUGGGGAUGGGCCUGUAACUUAACUCAACUCAAACUGCUAAUCUUGUGGACUCCAAACUGGGCUAACUGUGCAAGUCGCACUCAAGUCAACAUGGAUUGUUCCUGUGGAUCGAUGUGAAGAAAUGAGGCAUUGACUUUGCACCCAGAGCGAGCCUUGAAGCAGCAACUGAACAUAAUUUCAGAUAUUUUGUUGUAUAAAACUGUUGUGUAGCUAAGCUGCUGUUGAUAAAUUUGUAACAUUUAUGCAUUGUCCCAUGGUUUUGCAUUGGAAACUGUAUGUAAAGCUGAUUUGCUGUUUAACUGCAAAUUAGAGGUUUCUCUUCUGACAUGCAAUCUUAAAUUGCACUUUCUUGUGCUGUUCAUUUCAUGCAAUUUGUUUAAUGUAAUUGUACUUGGGCUGUGUUCACCUUGCUGUGAAGGGAAUGUAUAAUGUAAUGUGGAACUGGACAUUGGAUAAACCCUUAAGAACUG